rnacentral:rRNA from 1 species
CCUGGCGGCCAUAGCGCGGUGGACCCACCUGACCCCAUGCCGAACUCAGAAGUGAAACGCCGUAGCGCCGAUGGUAGUGUGGGGUCUCCCCAUGCGAGAGUAGGACACUGCCAGGU